rnacentral:rRNA from 1 species
AAUUUUGGACAAUUGGUGAAACGCUGAUACAGCAACCCCGCGUGUAUGAUGAAGGCCUNCGGGUUNUNAAGUACUUUUCGCAGAGNAGCAAAGGCAUCCCCUAAUACGGGUUGCUGCUCACGGUAUCUUCAGAAUAAGUACCGGCAACCUACGUGCCAGCAGCCGCGGUAAUACGUAGGGUGCAAGCGUUAAUCGGAAUUACUGGGCGUAAAGCGUGUGUAGGCGGUUCGGAAAGAAAGAUGUCAAAUCCCAGGGCUCAACCUUGGAACUGCAUUUUUAACUGCCGAGCUAGAGUAGGUCAGAGGAGGGUAGAAUUCCACGUGUAGCAGUGAAAUGCGUAGAUAUGUGGAGGAAUACCGAUGGCGAAGGCAGCCCCCUGGGAUAAUACUGACGCUCAGACACGAAAGCGUGGGGAGCAAACAGG